rnacentral:rRNA from 1 species
UACGUAGGGGGCUAGCGUUGUUCGGAUUUAUUGGGCGUAAAGAGCGUGUAGGCGGCCAGGUAGGUCCGUUGUGAAAACUCGAGGCUCAACCUCGAGACGUCGGCGGAAACCAUCUGGCUAGAGUCCGGAAGAGGAGAGUGGAAUUCCUGGUGUAGCGGUGAAAUGCGCAGAUAUCAGGAGGAACACCGGUGGCGAAGGCGGGUCUCUGGGCCGUAACUGACGCUGAGGAGCGAAAGCGUGGGGAGCGAACAGG